rnacentral:rRNA from 1 species
GACGAACGCUGGCGGCGUGCCUAAUACAUGCAAGUCGAACGCAGUGGGGACGGGUGAGUAACACGUGGGUAACCUCCCAUCAGAGGGGAUAACACUUGGAAACAGGUGCUAAACCGAUACUGAUGGAUGGACCCGCGGUGGAUUAGCUAGUUGGGGAGGUAACGGCUCACCAAGGCCACGAUGCAUAGCCGGCCUGAGAGGGUGAUCGGCCACACUGGGACUGAGACACGGCCCAGACUCCUACGGGAGGCAGCAGUAGGGAAUAUUCGGCAAUGGGCGAAAGCCUGAUCGAGCAACGCCGCGUGAGUGAAGAAGGUUUUCGGGUCGUAAAGCUCUGUUGUUAGGGAAGCGUUAUCUAACCAGAAAGCCACGGCUAACUACGUGCCAGCAGCCGCGGUAAUAC